UAUGGCACUGGUAGAAUUCACUGA
rnacentral:ncRNA from 6 species